CCUACGGGUGGCUGCAGUGGGGAAUAUUGCACAAUGGGGGAAACCCUGAUGCAGCGACGCCGCGUGAGUGAAGAAGUAUUUCGGUAUGUAAAGCUCUAUCAGCAGGGAAGAAAAUGACGGUACCUGAUUAAGAAGCCCCGGCUAACUACGUGCCAGCAGCCGCGGUAAUACGUAGGGGGCAAGCGUUAUCCGGAUUUACUGGGUGUAAAGGGAGCGUAGACGGCAGCGCAAGUCUGAAGUGAAAUGCCGGGGCUUAACCCCGGAACUGCUUUGGAAACUGUGCAGCUAGAGUGCAGGAGAGGUAAGUGGAAUUCCUAGUGUAGCGGUGAAAGGCGUAGAUAUUAGGAGGAACACCAGUGGCGAAGGCAGCAUACCGGCGGCGAUCUGACGCUGAGGCACGAAAGCGUGGGUAUCGAACAGGAUUAGAUACCCUAGUAGUC
rnacentral:rRNA from 1 species